UACUUAUCUAAUCUCAAAACUAUUUUAUUUACAAAGAUAUUUCAUAAAAAAAAAUAUUAAUAUCAAUCAACUUUAAUAACUAUGAAAUAUUGAAUUCAAAUUCCUUUCUGCUUUGCAAAUUCACCAUCUAUUGAAAAUGAAAGUUGAUCUGUUAUUCAUUUUGCUGCAAGUGAAAGUCAAACUGAAGUUUUUAAUGAUUCUAUGGCUAAUAGAACUCAAAUUUCAGA
rnacentral:misc_RNA from 1 species